rnacentral:rRNA from 1 species
UACGGAGGGGGCUAGCGUUGUUCGGAAUUACUGGGCGUAAAGCGCACGUAGGCGGCUUUGUAAGUUAGAGGUGAAAGCCCAGGGCUCAACCCUGGAAUUGCCUUUAAGACUGCAUCGCUUGAACAUCGGAGAGGUAAGUGGAAUUCCGAGUGUAGAGGUGAAAUUCGUAGAUAUUCGGAAGAACACCAGUGGCGAAGGCGGCUCUCUGGGCAGAUACUGACACUGAGACGCGAAAGCGUGGGUAGCAAACAGG